rnacentral:misc_RNA from 1 species
GAUGAAGAACGUAGCGAAAUGCGAUACUUGGUGUGAAUUGCAGAAUCUCGUGAACCAUCGAGUCUUUGAACGCAAGUUGCGCCUCAAGCCAUUAGGUUGAGGGCACGUCUGCCUGGGCGUCACAUAUCGUUGCCUGAUGCCAGUUUCCUCGUGAUGGGUGACUGUGCAGGGCGAAUGAUGGCUUCCCGUGAGCAUUGUUGCCUCAUGGUUGGUUGAAAAUUGAGUCCUUGGUAGGGAGCGCCGUGAUAGAUGGUGGUUGAGUGACGAACGAGACCCAAUCAUGUGAGACCCCUACCGAAUUUGGCCUUCAUGACCCACAUGCGUCUUUGGAACGCUCAUGACGAGACCUCAGGUCAGGCGGGGCUACCCGCUGAGUUUAAGCAUAUCAAUAAGCGGAGGA